rnacentral:rRNA from 1 species
GAUGAACGCUGGCGGCGUGCCUAAUACAUGCAAGUCGAGCGAAGCGGGGAUGGGUGAGUAACACGUGGAUAACCUCCUAUAAGUCUGGGAUAACUUCCGGAAACCGGAGAUAAACCGGCUAUUUUUAGAUGGAUCCGCGCUGCAUUAGCUAGUUGGUAAGGGAACGGCUUACUAAAGCAACGAUGCAUAGCCGACCUGAGAGAGGGAUCUGCGACACUGGAGCUGGGACAAGGUCCAGACUCCUACGGGAGGCAGCAGUAGGGAAUCUUCCGCAAGUGGCGAAAGCCUGACAGAGCAACGCCGCGUGAGUGAUGAAGGUCUUCAGAUCGUAAAACUCUGUUAUUAGGGAAGCGGUACCUAAUCAGAAAGCCACGGCUAACUACGUGCCAGCCGCCGCGGUAAUUC